GACGAACGCUGGCGGCGUGCCUAAUACAUGCAAGUCGAGCGGACGAAUCGAAAGCUUGCUUUUGAUUCGUUAGCGGCGGACGGGUGAGUAACACGUGGGCAACCUGCCCUGUAGACGGGGAUAACACCGAGAAAUCGGUGCUAAUACCGGAUAACACGAAAUGUCGCAUGACGUUUCGUUGAAAGACGGCGCAAGCUGUCGCUACAGGAUGGGCCCGCGGCGCAUUAGCUAGUUGGUGAGGUAACGGCUCACCAAGGCGACGAUGCGUAGCCGACCUGAGAGGGUGAUCGGCCACACUGGGACUGAGACGCGGCCCAGACUCCUACGGGAGGCAGCAGUAGGGAAUCUUCCGCAAUGGACGAAAGUCUGACGGAGCAACGCCGCGUGAGCGAAGAAGGCCUUCGGGUCGUAAAGCUCUGUUGUUAGGGAAGAACAAGUAACGCAGUAACUGGCGUUACCGUGACGGUACCUAACGAGAAAGCCACGGCUAACUACGUG
rnacentral:rRNA from 1 species